rnacentral:rRNA from 1 species
GAUGAACGCUGGCGGCGUGCCUAAUACAUGCAAGUCGAGCGAACAGAUGAGGAGCUUGCUCCUCUGACGUUAGCGGCGGACGGGUGAGUAACACGUGGAUAACCUACCUAUAAGACUGGGAUAACUUCGGGAAACCGGAGCUAAUACCGGAUAAUAUAUUGAACCGCAUGGUUCAAUAGUGAAAGACGGUUUUGCUGUCACUUAUAGAUGGAUCCGCGCCGCAUUAGCUAGUUGGUAAGGUAACAGCUUACCAAGGCGACGAUUCGUAGCCGACCUGAGAGGGUGAUCGGCCACACUGGAACUGAGACACGGUCCAGACUCCUACGGGAGGCAGCAGUAGGGAAUCUUCCGCAAUGGGCGAAAGCCUGACGGAGCAACGCCGCGUGAGUGAUGAAGGUCUUCGGAUCGUAAAACUCUGUUAUUAGGGAAGAACAAAUGUGUAAGUAACUAUGCACGUCUUGACGGUACCUAAUCAGAAAGCCACGGCUAACUACGUG